UUCCAGACUCCUACGGGAGGCAGCAGUGAGGAAUAUUGGUCAAUGGGCGAGAGCCUGAACCAGCCAAGUCGCGUGAGGGAUGGCGGUCCUAUGGAUUGUAAACCUCUUUUGUCAGGGAGCAAAGGGCGCCACGUGUGGCGUUUUGCGAGUACCUGAAGAAAAAGCAUCGGCUAACUCCGUGCCAGCAGCCGCGGUAAUACGGAGGAUGCGAGCGUUAUCCGGAUUUAUUGGGUUUAAAGGGUGCGCAGGCGGAAUGUCAAGUCAGCGGUAAAAUUUCGGGGCUCAACCCCGUCGUGCCGUUGAAACUGGCGUUCUUGAGUGGGCGAGAAGUAUGCGGAAUGCGUGGUGUAGCGGUGAAAUGCAUAGAUAUCACGCAGAACUCCGAUUGCGAAGGCAGCAUACCGGCGCCCAACUGACGCUGAAGCACGAAAGCGUGGGUAUCGAACAGGAUUAGAUACCCGCGUAU
rnacentral:rRNA from 1 species